rnacentral:lncRNA from 1 species
GUGGGAUUUCAGUGCUUGGCACUGCUGUCAGAAGAAAAUGAAAGACAUAGAUCAACAUGGGCACUAACAUUUUUGUAUUUAUAAAUUGAUCUGUUUUCAAUUUUUUAAAAUUUUAUUACUGAGCUAUGUGUCUACCAGGAAUUUUUCUCCAAAGUAAUAGUUUUAGGGGACACUCUUCACUUCAUGGAAGUAUUUGAUAACAGCAUUCAGACAUCGUGGUUUAUACUUGUGACUGCUGAGCCAUUUCAAAUGGCUUUGUUUUCAGAAAUACCAUUGAUGAACAAGUGCAUGUGUGGCCCAGGAUCAUUGCUUCCCCCUGGGACCGGACUCCUUGUAAUCAUCCUUACUCUUUGCUGUUCCUGCUCCUGCCACAGGGUCAGUCUACUGGAGCAAGUGCUGCUUCUACUUCACUGGUGAUUUCCAUUUGUUCAGCGGCUAUACCUGUGAAUGUCUGGAAAAGGCCAACUUGGGAAAGAGUUACUUCAGCAGAUGCUUCUCUCCUUAAGGAAUUUUAUAAACAAGAGUAGCCUCCUGUUUUCUGCUGUUUUUCUUGGAUUAAAAAAAUCAAUUGAUUUAAUAAACCAAAUAUUAAAUAUUAAAU